UGGAUCUUAAAAAUCUUUCCACCCC
rnacentral:piRNA from 1 species